ACGUACGUGGAUCCGUUUUUUCACCGAUAAUUCGAUGAAUGAAAACUCGUCGCUCAUACGUCACUCUACAUUACAUCAUUUUCUCAACAGUAUCUUUUCUCUCUCUUCCCUUUGCUAUAUCCCACCAGACUAUCCGAAAAUCGACAUAUUUUUGGUUUCAAAUAAAUUUGAAUUAGGUUACUUAAAAGGGUGUUUUUUUUUUUUUUUUUAAUAUUUCAAUCCUUAAAAGUCGAAAGCAACGAAAUUUAACUCUUCUGGCAUUAUCGGAUCAUAGGUGACCGUAAUAUUCAAAAAUCGGAAACUUUACAGUGUCAACAUCAUAUUUGCAUUAUGAAAAACAAAAAGUGCGAAUGCGAAUCAUCUAGAUUUCUCGAAAUUCCCCCUCGUUUCACGGUACACGAAUAUCGUGAACUUAUUGCUUGUUUACCCCUUCCCUCUGUUUCACGAAUUUAUUUGCCUACACAUCCUAUUAAUUCGCUCGUGGGGUUCGACCGAUUGGGUAUACUUUCCGCCAAAACACCAGCGGUUUCAACCACCGACGGCUUUAAAGUAAACGUUGAAGGGUGAUUUCGAAGCACGCGCGUGAGGAGAUACACCCGCUGAUACCAUAUACAUACAAUACAUAUGUAAACGGAGGGGAAGAUAUUUGAACAUCGGAAUGAAAAACAUCGAUAUUUUUCAACGAAUAAUAUUGAUUUCGUUUCUUCCGCCAGAUUUCUCCACUCUACCGAAAUUCAUUAAAAGUACCAAAAGAUUAUACAAAUAAUAUCCCAACGAUUUCGAGGAAAUAUCUAUUUCGUCCUAUACAGUGCGAACCACGAUACGUGGUUAGCUUAGAUCAAUCUAUAGUCGACCGACCGAACAUUUUUUUGAUAGAUAUAACAUGAUUCCAAGACAGCUUUAAGACGACCGUAAUGGGCUUUUCGUUAACUCUUGUUAAUUCUUCGGAGUUUUUAAGGUCACAUUCAGGUUUUUGUAGAUAAAAGCCUGUCUUUUUUUUUACACCUAUCUUUUAGCAGAUAUCGAGAAGAAUGCGACAAAUGUAACAAAUAUCUUUUUUUCCAUCUGAAUCGCAGAAGUAUUAAAAAAGUGUCUGUCGACUGUAAUACACCUGCGUAGACGGCAAAUUAAUUACCGUUUAGCAAAUGUCGACUGUUAUUUUUCUAACAUUUCUUCGAUUCUAAUAGUAAAAAUUUAAAAAAAUUAUUGGUUUAUUUAAAAACUGAAGUGAAUGAAGCGUGACCUUGGAAACUGUGGGAGAAAAGGAGAGAUGAUAAAAAUGUAUUAUAAUCAUCUUAAAUCUCUACGAACCAUAUUGUAUAUCGCUAACGGCGAAAUAAUUUAAGCUAAUCAUAUUUUGCGAUUCACUCUGUGUAUAUCUCGCUUCAUUUUAAUAACUUACUUAUAGUGCAAUGGGCUAGAAACCGCGAGAAAAUGGCAAAAGUCAUUUUUUAUACUAUAGUUAUGGUAUACUAUAAUGUGAAGUCUUCAAAGCUCCAAAAUCCAAGAUACUAUUCAUUUCAGAUAAUUCUGUGAUCUUGGGUACAGUUCUGAAAACAAGAUCCAAAAAUUUUAAAUAAAGCUAAUUGCUGCAUGUGCCUGUUCUAGAAUAUUAAUGUAUCAUAAUUGUAUCAUAAGUAUUUGUUCAAGGUACAAAUAGUGCAAAGUUUAUAACAAUUAAAAGUUUGAUAAUGUUUUUAAAAAAAAUGAUUAAUAGCGAUAAGUAUCGGACCUGUUUCGUAUGAAAGAUUAAAUUGCUGCUAAGAGGAAUAUACAAAUUUCAAGUGCAGCCUCCUGCAGCUUUUAACUCUGUUCCGAUUUUAACCAAUAAAUGAUAAUUUCUAUCGUUUUGGACGCCUGUAGCUGCAUAAUACAUACAUAAAGCUGAUCCUACUUGAAGAGGGAUUUAAAAGAUGAGGGUUGAGUUUCAUCGCGAAAAUUUUACUCGUUGUUAGUAUUCGUUGUUACAAAUGCUAGAUAUUGAUUUUCUCAUAGCAUAUUUCUAUUCCAUGGUAUUAGUCUUGGCGAAUGUGCACAGUGAAACAUGCCUCGUAUUCUUAAAUUUUGUUUGAUUUUAUAUAUUUUUAAAAUCUAAAAGUUCUAUGUAAUCUAUUUAUUACACCUAUUAUUACUUAUUAUAAUUUUUAAUGUUACGUAUCUUAUAGUUAUAUAUAGCGUUCAUAAGCUAAUUACACGUCAUUAAUUUAUAAGUAUAUGUACAUUAUAAAAUUUAGAACAAUUCGAAGCCGAACUUUGGUUUGGGAUGCUACUUGUCUUAAAGCUAUCUGAUGGUAAUCGGUGAAUAGAAACGAAAUACACCGAUUUUGAGUGUCACAGUCUAUUGAUUCUAAAGUUAUACGUGUUAAAGUUUGACACUUUUAAUUAAAUCAUAAAAAAAGUCGAAUUAAAUAGUAAAUCCGCGUAUAUUGUCGGGAAGAAUAUAGUGCGGGCCGCUUGCAAAAUAGUUGGGGAAAGUGUACGUGCACAGUGUAAUAGAUGGGCUUACGAAGACUGUAUCGGUCGGGAAACAACAAAACUUAAUUUAAAUGAACAACGAUAACGCUAUCAAAAGUGAUUAAAGACAAUAAUAUAUAAUAUAAAGAUAAUAUUUUCGUUUUAUCGUUAUUUUAAGUAGCGAAAUAGAAUUUUUUAAUUUCAUUUCUUUCGUCCUUUCCUUCAUUAUGAAAGUAUCUACCAAGUACAGUUUGGUUUACACAAUAUACUUUAUUAAUCAUAAAGUCGCAAAAUUAAGUAUACGGUUUUAUACUGAUUUCCCUUAGAUGAUGUUAGCAAAUACUGAAACAAUGUUUUGCCACCAAACUAUCCGAGGGAAAUGCAAUAGAAGCAAGAAAUAAAUUUUAUAAACAAGGUAGACAAUAUCGCGCACGGAAAAAUAGCAGGAUAAAUUACCUCGGAGGCGUAUUUAAAUGAAGCCCUGGGUACUUCAGACCUGUUUAUCUCGAGUAUAUCUUUCAUAAACACGAUUCAGCGACGUGAGAAGCGAGACAAACAUGAUCUGAAAGCGAAGAAAAUAUGAAAUAAUGAAUAACUUCUACUAGAAGUUAUAUCGUUACCUCGAUAAUUAAAAAUGACGACGAAGACUCUGAUGGUGAUGAAGAUAAUCAGCGUAUAUACAUGUAAUUUACCUCGCUAUUUAGACAACGUGGAAAUUAAUUCGCAGCAUUGCCAGGAUCGGAUUAUGGUUUCGCGAGAAGGCUAGAGGCUACACCGAAAAGAUCACAAAUUACUUACAACAAUUUAGUAGCAACAACAGCAUAUUAAAAAGGCUGUCAUGCCGAUUCUUUAAUAUCGUAUAAAAUUAUACGAAGCACAUUUCUGAUAAAUAUUGUCAAAAUUAGUGGUUUUCGUGGUUGACUUGUACGUAUGUUUCAGCUUCACAGUUGACAAUUGACGAUGUUAAAAACAGCCUGUAAACUGUAUACAUAUAUAUUUGGAAAAAUAUAUGUAAGAUUCGAAUUGAUUAUAUAAUUUGUAACUUUUAUAAAAUUUAGCUUAAAAAUUUAAUACUGAAAUCAAGGUGUUCUUAAAGCAUAGAGCCUGGGGCUGCAAACUUACUUAUCCCUCCCUCUUAUUCUGAACCUAAAUUAAUAUUUCGCGUAAUAUCUUCCUGUUACAGGAAUGAAUCUCGUGCUAUUUUUCUGCCCUUUGCACAAUACCACGCAUAAAUCCCACGAAUUUAAUUUCUCUUAAUUAAAUUAAAUUGUAUUAAAUU